rnacentral:tRNA from 1 species
GCAUCCAUAGCUCAGUUGGUAGAGCAUCUGACUCUUAAUCAGCAGGUCGGCGGUUCAAACCCGCCUGGAUGCA